rnacentral:rRNA from 1 species
GACGUACUAGACUGCGAUAAGCUAUGCGGAGCUGUCAAGGAGCUUUGAUGCGUAGAUGUCCGAAUGGGGCAACCCAACUAAUAGAGAUAUUAGUUACUCUAAUUAUAGAGAGCGAACCUAGUGAAGUGAAACAUCUCAGUAACUAGAGGAAAAGAAAUCAACGAGAUUCCCUAAGUAGUGGCGAGCGAACGGGGAAAAGGGCAAACCGAGUGCUUGCAUUCGGGGUUGAGGACUGCAAUAUCCAAGAGAACGCUUUAGCAGAGUUACCUGGAAAGGUAAGCCAUAGAAAGUGAUAGCCUUGUAUGCGACAAGGCGUUUUUAGGUAGCAGGAUCCAGAGUAGGCCAGGACACGAGGAAUCCAGGUUGAAGCCGGGGAGACCACUCUCCAACCCUAAAUACUACUCUUUGAGCGAUAGCGAACAAGUACCGUGAGGGAAAGGUGAAAAGAACCGCAGUGAGCGGAGUGAAAUAGAACCUGAAACCAUCUGCUUACAAUCAUUCAGAGCCCUAUGAUUUAUCAGGGUGAUGGACUGCCUUUUGCAUAAUGAUCCUGCGAGUUGUGGUAUCUGGCAAGGUUAAGCGAAUGCGAAGCCGUAGCGAAAGCGAGUCUUAAUAGGGCGAUUAAGUCAGAUGCUGCAGACCCGAAGCUAAGUGAUCUAUCCAUGGCCAAGUUGAAACGCGUGUAAUAGCGCGUGGAGGACUGAACUCGUACCCAUUGAAACGGGUUGGGAUGAGCUGUGGAUAGGGGUGAAAGGCCAAACAAACUUAGUGAUAGCUGGUUCUCUUCGAAAUAUAUUUAGGUAUAGCCUCAAGUGAUAAUAAAAGGGGGUAGAGCCCUGAUUGGGCUAGGGCUGCUCGCCGCGGUACCAAACCCUAUCAAACUUCGAAUACCUUUUAUCGUAUCUUGGGAGUCAGGCGGUGGGUGAUAAAAUCAAUCGUCAAAAGGGGAACAACCCAGACUACCAAAUAAGGUCCCUAAGUUCUAUUCUGAGUGGAAAAAGAUGUGUGGCUACUCAAACAACCAGGAGGUUGGCUUAGAAGCAGCCAUCCUUUAAAGAAAGCGUAACAGCUCACUGGUCUAGUGGUCAUGCGCUGAAAAUAUAACGGGGCUAAGAUAGACACCGAAUUUGUAGAUUGUGUUUGACACAGUGGUAGAAGAGCGUUCAUACCAGCGUUGAAGGUAUACCGGUAAGGAGUGCUGGAGCGGUAUGAAGUGAGCAUGCAGGAAUGAGUAACGAUAAGAUAUAUGAGAAUUGUAUCCGCCGUAAAUCUAAGGUUUCCUACGCGAUGGUCGUCAUCGUAGGGUUAGUCGGGUCCUAAGCCGAGUCCGAAAGGGGUAGGUGAUGGCAAAUUGGUUAAUAUUCCAAUACCGACUAUGGAGCGUGAUGGGGGGACGCAUAGGGUUAAGCGAGCUAGCUGAUGGAAUAGCUAGUCUAAGGGCGUAGAUUGGAGGGAAGGCAAAUCCACCUCUGUAUUUGAAACCCAAACAGGCUCUUUGAGUCCUUUCAGGACAAAGGGAGAAUCGCUGAUACCGUCGUGCCAAGAAAAGCCUCUAAGCAUAUCCAUAGUCGUCCGUACCGCAAACCGACACAGGUAGAUGAGAUGAGUAUUCUAAGGCGCGUGAAAGAACUCUGGUUAAGGAACUCUGCAAACUAGCACCGUAAGUUCGCGAUAAGGUGUGCCACAGCGAUGUGGUCUCAGCAAAGAGUCCCUCCCGACUGUUUACCAAAAACACAGCACUUUGCCAACUCGUAAGAGGAAGUAUAAGGUGUGACGCCUGCCCGGUGCUCGAAGGUUAAGAGGAUGCGUCAGUCGCAAGAUGAAGCGUUGAAU